rnacentral:tRNA from 1 species
AAUAAGGUUGCUUAAUGGUUUAAGUAUAUAUUUAUAUAAAAAUAAUUAUAAAUAUAUUAGUGAGUUCAAUUCUCCUUUAUUU